UACGUAGGGUGCGAGCGUUGUCCGGAAUUAUUGGGCGUAAAGGGCUCGUAGGCGGUCUGUUGCGUCGGGAGUGAAAACUCAGGGCUUAACCCUGAGCCUGCUUCCGAUACGGGCAGACUAGAGGUAUGCAGGGGAGAACGGAAUUCCUGGUGUAGCGGUGAAAUGCGCAGAUAUCAGGAGGAACACCGGUGGCGAAGGCGGUCCUCUGGGCAUUACCUGACGCUGAGGAGCGAAAGUGUGGGGAGCGAACAGG
rnacentral:rRNA from 1 species